rnacentral:rRNA from 1 species
UACGUAGGCAGCAAGCGUUGUUCGGAGUUACUGGGCGUAAAGGGUGUGUAGGCGGUUCUUUAAGUUUGGUGCGAAAUCUCCCGGCUCAACCGGGAGGGUGCGCCGAAUACUGAGGGACUAGAGUGUGGGAGAGGAAAGUGGAAUUCCUGGUGUAGCGGUGAAAUGCGUAGAUAUCAGGAGGAACACCGGUGGUGUAGACGGCUUUCUGGACCAUAACUGACGCUGAGACACGAAAGCGUGGGUAGCAAACAGG